GAUGAACGCUGGCGGCGUGCCUAAUACAUGCAAGUCGAGCGAACGGACGAGAAGCUUGCUUCUCUGAUGUUAGCGGCGGACGGGUGAGUAGCACGUGGAUAACCUACCUAUAAGACUGGGAUAACUUCGGGAAACCGUAGCUAAUACUGGAUAAUAUUUUGAACCGCAUGGUUCAAAAGUGAAAGACGGUCUUGCUGUCACUUAUAGAUGGAUCCGCGCUGCAUUAGAUAGUUGGUAAGGUAACGGCUUACCAAGGCAACGAUGCAUAGCCGACCUGAGAGGGUGAUCGGCCACACUGGAACUGAGACACGGUCCAGACUCCUACGGGAGGCAGCAGUAGGGAAUCUUCCGCAAUGGGCGAAAGCCUGACGGAGCAACGCCGCGUGAGUGAUGAAGGUCUUCGGAUCGUAAAACUCUGUUAUUAGGGAAGAACAUAUGUGUAAGUAACUGUGCACAUCUUGACGGUACCUAAUCAGAAAGCCACGGCUAACUACGUG
rnacentral:rRNA from 1 species